UUCUCUAGACAUGGUUUUCUUUUUUUUUCCUCUUAUAAAUAGAGGCCUUUGGCACUCUUUACAUUGCCAUCCUCCACUCUCUCUCUCUCUCUCUCUCUCUCUCUCUCUCUCUCUCUCUCUCUCUCUCCCCCCCACUCCCUCUCUCUCAGACUAAUAAGAGGGGAGGAUUAAGAUCAGGAGGCAAGUGGUGAUGUUGUUGACAGAAGAUAGAGAGCACAGAUGAUGAUAUGCGCAAUAUGCAUGGUUUUUGCAUCUCACUCCUUUGUGCUCUCUAUGCUUCUGUCAUCACCUUAAUUCAGCCCCUCAUCCCACUGAUCCCAUCUUUGAUCACUCCUUUAAUCAACUGCAGCAUUACUUUGAUUAUAUAUCUUAUUUUCUUCCUCUUGAACAUUCUUUUUGUCAAUUAUAUAUGACAGUUUUCGAACCUGUACUAAUAGAUGUUAGUGUUAUGUAUUUUUCCAGUUCGAAUCAAGGAAGAGGCCAGAGAAUUAGGCACUAUUAUUGAAAUGGUCAGUAAGGUAAUUUCCAAUGAUGAUAGAUAUUAAGAUGUGAUUCCUAAAGGGAAGGCACAACUUGCUUUGUGGGAGAUAAGGAAAAUGCACAAGGAAAGGAAGCUCCAAAGAAAAAAGACAUUUGGGUCUAGCUGACACAGCCAAAUUAAGUAGGCCUCACAUUCAGGAUCCACCUGGAAUUACAAUUCUGCAGGUUGCAAAUUUGCUGGAAAGUGUCAUGUGCCUAAUAUGUAUGAAUAAGUUACAUAUAUACCUUUAUUCAAAACAUGGCAAUCUGAUCAUGAAUCGCCAAAUAGCCCAAAAUUGUUGAGUGAGAAUCCGAGCAUGUAGACCCUAGAUGCAUGAUCAUUAUGUGAUCUUUUAACUUUUAUAGAAUUUUUUUUCUGAGUUCCUAGAAA